rnacentral:tRNA from 1 species
UCUUCCUUAGCUCAGUUGGUUAGAGCAUCUGACUGUUAAUCAGAGGGUCUCAGGUUCAAGUCCUGAAGGGAGAG